AUUGAACGCUGGCGGCAUGCUUUACACAUGCAAGUCGAACGGCAGCACGGGCUUCGGCCUGGUGGCGAGUGGCGAACGGGUGAGUAAUAUAUCGGAACGUACCCAGAAGUGGGGGAUAACGUAGCGAAAGUUACGCUAAUACCGCAUACGAUCUAUGGAUGAAAGCAGGGGACCGCAAGGCCUUGUGCUCCUGGAGCGGCCGAUAUCUGAUUAGCUAGUUGGUGAGGUAAAGGCUCACCAAGGCGACGAUCAGUAGCUGGUCUGAGAGGACGACCAGCCACACUGGAACUGAGACACGGUCCAGACUCCUACGGGAGGCAGCAGUGGGGAAUUUUGGACAGUGGGCGCAAGCCUGAUCCAGCAAUGCCGCGUGAGUGAAGAAGGCCUUCGGGUUGUAAAGCUCUUUUGUCAGGGAAGAAACGGUAGAGGCUAAUAUCCUUUGCUAAUGACGGUACCUGAAGAAUAAGCACCGGCUAACUACGUG
rnacentral:rRNA from 1 species